GUUUCGCUGAGCGCAUGGUCUGAGCACAUGGAAAAGAGGUCGAGACUUAGCAGCGUGCGAAAGUAUUAUUACCACAUUGAAGACAUUUCCACUCCUGAAAUGGAAUAUCAGUCUCCAUACAAGAAGUGCGACAAAUAGAAGAAAGGGAACUGCCACUCACUGGAUACUCUAACCACUUUAUUAGGUAUGCCUUUCUAGCACUGGGUAGGACCUCCUUUUGCUUCCAGAACAGCCUGAAUUAUUUGUGUCAUGGAUUCGACAAGGCUCUGGAACAUUCCUUGGAGAUUCUGGUCCACGUUGACAUUGCAGCAUCACACAGUUGCUGCAGAUUUGUCAGCUGCACAUUCACGCUGCAAACCUCCCAUUCCACCACAUCCCAAUGGUGCUCUAUUGGAUUGAGAGCUGGUGAAAGUGGAUGUCAUUGGAGUACACUGAACUCAUUGUCAUGUUUGUGGAACCAGCUUGAGUGUGCUUUGUGAUAUGGGCCUAAUGUGUGCCAAGAAAACAUUCCAGACACCAUGACACCACCACCACCAGCCUGAACCAUUGACACACGGCAGGAUGGAUCCAUAAAUUCACGUUGUUUACACCAACUUCUGACCAUACAGUAGAAAUUGCAGUAGAAAUUGAGAUUGGUCAGAGCAGGAAAUGUUUUUCAGCAUCUUCAGCUUUCCAGUUUUGGUGAUCUUGUGCCCACUGUAGCCUCAAAUUUUUGUUUUUUGCUGACAGGAGUGGAACCCGGUGUGGUUUUCUGCUGCUGUAGCCCAUCCACUUCAAGGCGAUUGAACCGCUUUGGAAAAUGACAGCCCAGCAUCUUGUCCCACUUCGGCCUGCGCAGGACAGCACAAAACAAAACAAAGACAUGUUUUGUGGAGACCAAGGGAUUUUCUGACCUCGGACGGAGCUGCGGGAGAGAAAGUCCCCAAGCCGCUUUCGGCAAAGCGGGAUGGAAAACUUUUUAAGAAGAUUUGUCGCCUUGAAAGGAGUUGUCGCGGUGCUGUUGUCCUGCAUGGGAUUUGGAAGCAGGAAACCUGCUGCUACAGGGUGUGAAGACAUGUAGGAGAGCAGCCCCAUCUGUGUCUCCCUGUGACCAGACUGAACCAGACUGGGCCACUUGGAUGAAAACGGUACUAUUAUAUCAUUGUGAUUCACAGGCACCAAGAUGUUUUCUCAGAAGUUUGACAUUUCGUUAUCAGCAUAUCUGAAAACUAUCAUAAAGUAUUGUUGAACCUUUAUGGAACUGGGAUAUAUUGUAAAUUAUUCUGAAGUAAUUAUAUUAUUUAAAGUAUAUAUUGACACUUGUAGGGAGUGAAAUAUAUUUACUGUUCCAUAAGUGAAGGACUGCUUAUUUAUCAUUCCAUAAGCAAAGGCCUGCUGCUGGCUCAUCCUGUUAAGGCACUGCUCCAGUGCAUGGAUGAGCCCUGUGGUCUGGUAUUGAAUCUGUACCGGGCCAGCGCUGACUACAAGGCCACGCAUGAUUGGUCAACUUCCUCUGACUCAUGUCUGUGUGAGCCUGACUUGUCGACCUUGGUGUGGAAAAAGUAGUGCCGACACGUGCUUCAGCCCUCUCAAAUUAACAGUGGAGACUGCGGACAGUAUUGUUGGGUGAGUACGAUUAGGCACUCCAAAUUGGGGGGAAAAAUUGUGUUUUAGCACUACUAGACACACGCACACAAUUGCAGUAGGACCUUUGCUGAUAUAUAAACCCUUGAGACAUCCAUCCAACAUUCUCCCUGCGACCCCCCCCCCCCCCCCCGUACUGUUGUAUUAUCCUUAGUCCCUUUUAACUGUGUCACUCAGUGUCUGCAGACCCUGUAGAUCCAUCUGUGAGUCAGUCAAGCGGGGCGCAAAGCCUUGUAGAAGUCUGAAUGAGUUAUGAACAGAACGUGU